AUCUGGGCCCGAAUCGCGGCAGUCGUGAGCGAGCAAGUAAUCGUAUCGAGUGAAAUUUCGUAACGUGUCGAGUGUGCGGAUCGUCGCACUCGACACGAAACGAAUAGAAAUUUUAUGAAAUAACUUCCCUGGUGUAGCUGUAAAUGACAUUUUCGAAUACAUUCAAAUACGAAACAAAACAAGUAUUUGAAUUUGAAUUCAAUGCAAAUCUUAUAUAUAAAAAUGAAUCGCAAAAUGUGUUGGUAAGCGCAUAACUCAACAACGCUUAGAACAAGUUUGCCAAUUCUUUUUUUAAAAUGUUCUUUGAGGUUCAAGGAAGGUUUUUACGGCAAGAAAAAUUCGAAUAAUUGACGGAAAACCCUUAAAACCAGCCCUUUUCUUUUUCCCAUACAAACGAGUGAAUGUUUGUUUAUUAGUAACGCUGAGAGAACGACUGAACCAAUCUUGAUGAAAUUUUCAGAGAAUGUUCUGGUAGGAUCGGGGAAGGUAUAGAAAUAAAAAAACCUGUAUGCUUUUCGUGAGAAAAAGUCGGAAAAUUGGACAAUUCCAAAAAGUUAAUUUUUUCCAUACAAAUUUUUUUAAAUUUUUUUGUUUUGUUUUUCAAUUAUUUGAAUCGUUCAAAUUUGUCGUUUGCUUCAAAAAUUUUUGAAAAUUAUUCAGUGAAAUUGUUAUGUGUGUUGCAUACAAAGUGAUCAAUUGCAGAUUGAAAUUUGCUACGAUGUCACGAAGAGGUCCCGCUAAUAUCGGUCGGCGUUCUUUUUGGCAUCAACAUACAUUAGUAGCCCAAGGCACAUGACCGAGUAUUCCCAGGAUGCGAUGACAUACGUGCGGUGUUAUGGAUCGCGGUCAAUUAGCAAGCGAUCGUCACGAUGUCACAGCAAGACUUUUCAAACAACAGCUUCGAUGGACUUUAUCUUGAAGCAACGUAUAUAUGGUGCUGUUAGAUGCUAGAUGUACUCUUUUGAGUGGCAAAAGAGAGGUUUGCCGCACGCAUACAUUCUUCUUUGGAUGGUGGAUGGUGGUUACACCAGAUCAUAUUGAUGAAACCAUUUCUGUGGAAAUUCGUGAUCCAGAGAAAGAUCCAGUAUUAUACGAAGUGGUAGAAACCAAUAUGGUUCAUGGACCUUGCAUCCACUACAAUCGCUUUUCGGUUUGUAUAUCUGAUAAUAAAUGCACGAAACACUAUCCAAGUGCUUUUCUCUCGGAAACACAAACUCAUCGGCAUCGCACACCAGAUAACAAUGCCAGAACAUUCAGCAUUCAAUUUAAAAGAGUGUAUAUCGAAGCUGACAACACAUGGAUCGUACUAUAUUCCCAUUGUUCUUUAAUUCACAUUCAAAACUCAUAUCAAUGUUGAGUAUUGCAGUUUGGUUAAAUCUAUAUAACGCGUUUGUAAGUACGUCACCAAAGGAAGCAAUACGAUACGGUCGAUACGUGAACCGCAAUAAAGCGCUUUGUAGAAUAUUUACUUUUGCAAUUCAUGAACGUUUUCCGACCGGCGAGAACAUUGCCCUAUUCGGAAAUACCUUGAUAUCUGGAAUGCAUCGUCGAAGAAAUAGUUGCGCAGAAAGCAAGGCCAACCAGUGGAUGGGCAUCCAGAUGUGUUAUCAACUAAUGCAUUAGGACGAAUUUACACAAUCUACCCGAAAAACGACGAUUGUUUCUACCUUCGGUUGCUAUCGAUUAAUGAACGCGGUUCAACUUCAUUUGAGUCAUUGCGUACUGUGAAUGUUACGGUGUCUGUGAGUUUUGGAGAAGUAUGCCAGGAAUUACAAUUGCUGGUAAAUGUCAAUCACUGGAAUGCACAUGAAGUUCGCACACUUUUCGCGAUAAUCAUUUCGACGUAUCAGGGUCAAUUCCGGUUGAUACUUCCGGUGGUUUGAUAUCAAUUCCAUUCGCCGCUUAUCAAUUCACGAAAGAUGAACUCAUCACGAAUGUGUAUCCGAAUAUUGGCCAAAUUAUCGUAACUACGAUUCCUUAAGUGCACGCGCAAUGUUAGCUGCCAAAAAUACCGAUGUUUUGACUUAAACUGGAAGAUUCAAAGCCAAAUUCCGGGAGACUUGCGCUCAUACAAAUCGAUCGAUCGUUUUGACAAUGAAGACGACGCCAUGAAUUAUCCUUUGGAAUUUCUAAAUUUUUUGGAGAGGCUUGGUAGUUUGCCACCGCAUCAUUUGCGUCUCAAAGCUGGAUCUGUCGUUAUUAUGUUCCGCAAUCUGCGCUAUCGAAUACAAGGGGACAGAAUACUUGAUUCUAAUAAUUCCUUUGAGUUCUAACGAUUUGCCAUUUCAUUUCAAACGUAUUCCGUUUCCAGUGAAAAUCGGUCAGAUAUACGUUGCGUACUCACGAGUUGGAAAACCAAAAUAAAUAAAUAAAUUACAUUGAAAUAAAAAAAUAUGAAAUGGUAAAUUUAACUUUCUUUUCAUUUCCAAAUACAUAAUUUCAAGCAGGACAACGGCUGCGGGGUCAGCUAGUAUUCAAUAUAUGUUUAUACAAUAUGUGUAAUAAAUUGUAUAUAAAUUUACUAAAUUUAGUUUUUGCAUUCAAUAAAAUGAACCCUAACGUGUUUUUUAUACAAGUUCAUCUGAUUCAGAUGAAAAAUAUCACGAAAUGGCCAUACGAUUCAGGAUUCGUGAUAAAAGUAAUUCCAUGGAUUUACCUGAAGCAGCGUAAGAAAAUUAUACCGUUUAACUUAGUAUAGAUCAUAUUAUUUUAAAUCAUUUACAGAUUCAGGAAGUGAUUUAGACUGACCAAAGACGCAUUUACUUUCAUCAUAUCGGAAAUAAAAAUUAACGGACAUUUAUCAACCGCAGUACCAUCAAUCAGCCGGUGGGCCGGUGGAAAAUUUUCAGUAAAGAUAACAUAAGUCGGUAUAUUCCUGAAAAGGAAUAGAUACGGGAAAAUGAGACUCAAUUAACUAAAUUGGUCAUAAAAUUAGAGAUCAUAUUAUCCAGUAUUUUAUUAUCUAAAUGAAUUAAACGUUCCAACAACAUUUGAAUUCAUGUUUUGUUCUAAUAAAUAUAUUUUCAAUAAAAACAGGAACUUGGAAUUAACAUAUCGUAUAUAUUGGUGUUUAUUUCUUAAUUUUUCUCUUUAAAAUUUCAAGCUCAUGAGUUUUAACCUGCAACUCUACAGCUUUUUUGCAUAUCUGCUUGAUGUACAUCUUCUUUUAUUUGCAGCGAUCUCUUCUUUUAAGCAAUUAGUUUCUCAAGAUUUUUACUUCUACUGCAACAUCUAUCCCCGUAGCAUGGAGGAGUUGCUCUUCUGCUACAGUUAAAAGCUUUUCCUCGUACUGACCACCACCAGUCUUUUGUUUCGAGGCUUUUUUGAAAGAAAUUUUUUUUUUUAUAUUGUGCUUUUGAUCAGCAAAUACCUAUUUUUGUAUUUUAUUAUUAUCUUUAUCAUUUCGUCAAAAUUUAGCAUCUUUCAUCGGUGGCCCGGCAGCGUUAAGUUUUAGCGUCAAUGUACCUCAUAGCUUAUUUAAUGCAACUUUGCCUUGCCCACAAUUAGGCAAAAUAUUAUUUGCUAAAUUCUGAUGCUGUAGUAUAAAAUUACUCAUCAAAUUUUUUUGGUGCAUAUUUGUCCUUAAAUCAUUAUUUAUAAUUAUAAUACAUGUUAAAUAAACUCAAUAAAAGAAAAAUAACUUAUAUUUCACUUCCGAUUAAUUUUAACUGUUAUAUUCAAACUUUUUUUUUUAAUUUGUACUAUAACGUUUCUCAAAUAGCUAACGAGUGAGAUUUCGAUUCUUUCGUACAAACGAGAACACGUUAUCGAAUGAGGAAAUUUCAAAUUUCGAAAGUGCGCAUUCGAUAGCGAGUACAACGAUCCGAAAACAAAAAAAUUUCAUAAAUUUCGUUCGUUAACGUGUGCCGCGAUUCGGGCCCUGAUUUUGUUUACAAUUGACUUAUCGAACCGCCCUCGUGUGAUGUGUAUAUUAUAAAUAUUCGAGUAAACAAUUACCGAAAAGCUAUCUCGAGCGUGAAAGAUAAUGGACACUUUAUAAUGACUUUACGAGCAUCUAAACAAAAAUAAAUAAAUGACUAACAUAAGAUCCUAAGUACCCAGAUAAGAAUAUAAAUAUGCCAACUAAUAAUUUCACCACAUAUUAUAUACACGCGUUGGUUUUCAUAUGCGAAUUUAAAAGGAAUGCCGGCUGAAACUUUCGCCGAAACUGUUUAACAACACCGGAAAAUUUUAAACACUCAAAACAUAUUUCGGAGGACGUUUCAGCUCCAUUUUGAUAUAUUUUUUGAUACUCUCUAACAAAUUGAUGAAAUUGAUUUAAGAUCUUUUGAAUCGCACGACCGAGGCGUACAAUUGACUUGGCCAUCUCAUGAGGUAACACGUUCAGCAAACUUGGCUUUGAAUAAAUCGAUUGCGAUAAUCACUGUGUGGUUUGUGGAGCCGUCCUCUUGGAACCACAUAUUGUCCAUAUCAUCCAAUUCGGGCCAAAAAUAUACGGUUAUCAUUGAGCGGUAGCGAUUCCCAUUCACGGUAGGGUGCCGGUCUUGAUCAUCACGGAAGAAGUACGGCCCAAUGACGCCGCCGGUCCAUGAACCGCACCAAACCGUAAUUAAUUGCGGAAUGCAAUGGUGAUUCAUGGAGUACGUGCGGAUUGCUGAUUGACGAAAAGAAAUGCCAAAAGAGCGGGAAAAAAUAUGGCGUCGUUUGCUGUCCCUAUUGAAAAUCCCGUUAGCUUCCAUAACUUAUAGAGUUAAAACUCUCUGCAAAGCACAAAAUAAAUGCAAAUGUACGAGACGGCCGACGUAAAAAGCUUUCGAAUGGCUUCACCGAGCCGUAUGAAGCGAAAUGGGCUUUGAGAUAGAUAUCUUCUUUGCGAGCAUACAACUGGAACUUUAUGCAGAGUAAUGAGUAAAGUGAAUAAUGAUCGAACAACUGAGUAAAUUAUGUAAAAACGGUGAACGCGGGCAUUUGAGAGGUCAUAAGGUCAAAUAAAGAGAACAUUCGUUCUUAAAACAGUGGUUUAAGCGGAGGCGAAAUAGGGUUCCGAUCUUUUUUUAUCCAGCUAAAGACUGUCAACAUUGCAGGAUUCCUCAAAAUUAUUUGGGAAAUAUUAUCUGCUGGUACAACAAAAACAACAACAACAUAGUUAGAAAGGACAGAAGUGUACUAUUGUUCAAAUCAAGUUCUGUUAAACUGAGCGCGCUAAUUGAAUCGAAAUUGCUUGAAAGUUUGUGUUUUCUGUGAGAUCACAGCUGUGAUGGUCGUGAAGUCAUCGAAAACUUGUCAUCCACCUCUGUUAAAUACGGUAACAUCGAUAAAGUGAAAGGAACAGUCCUUGUAAAUCAUCGUGUUGGCAUCAGAGAGAUAGCAGAGGAUCCCAACUUGGAUCGACUCAGGACAAUUUGUUCAACCUUAGGACAAUUAGGAAGUGUGCCAAAGCUAGACCUGUAUAAAACAACACAAUCUUUUGCAAAAAGAUCGUCGAGCAAAGGUCGCUAAAAAGAUGCUUGACAACGUAUCUGAAGACCCUACAUUCAUAAAAAUCCAAAAUUUCUGUAACGAGACGUGGGUUUUUUGAAUAUGACAUCGAAACUGUCUAACUAUCUAGCGAAAGGCGAUCUAAAAAUGGCCCGAAACCGAAAAUAAAAAUUAAAUUAGCUGAAACUACGGAAGGCCAUCACAGCCGAGGCUUAUAACAAGUAUAUGGAAAUUUUUGUUAAGCGUUUAAAUGCUUGUAUUGGCUCAGGCGCCUGUUAUAAAAACGGUAAUAAAAAUUUAUAUUGAAAAAUAA